AGCGUACACGGUGGAUGCCCUGGCAGUCAGAGGCGAUGAAGGACGUGCUAAUCUGCGAUAAGCGUCGGUAAGGUGAUAUGAACCGUUAUAACCGGCGAUUUCCGAAUGGGGAAACCCAGUGUGAUUCGUCACACUAUCAUUAACUGAAUCCAUAGGUUAAUGAGGCGAACCGGGGGAACUGAAACAUCUAAGUACCCCGAGGAAAAGAAAUCAACCGAGAUUCCCCCAGUAGCGGCGAGCGAACGGGGAGCAGCCCAGAGCCUGAAUCAGUGUGUGUGUUAGUGGAAGCGUCUGGAAAGGCGCGCGAUACAGGGUGACAGCCCCGUACACAAAAAUGCACAUGCUGUGAGCUCGAUGAGUAGGGCGGGACACGUGGUAUCCUGUCUGAAUAUGGGGGGACCAUCCUCCAAGGCUAAAUACUCCUGACUGACCGAUAGUGAACCAGUACCGUGAGGGAAAGGCGAAAAGAACCCCGGCGAGGGGAGUGAAAAAGAACCUGAAACCGUGUACGUACAAGCAGUGGGAGCACGCUUCGGCGUGUGACUGCGUACCUUUUGUAUAAUGGGUCAGCGACUUAUAUUCUGUAGCAAGGUUAACCGAAUAGGGGAGCCGAAGGGAAACCGAGUCUUAACUGGGCGUUAAGUUGCAGGGUAUAGACCCGAAACCCGGUGAUCUAGCCAUGGGCAGGUUGAAGGUUGGGUAACACUAACUGGAGGACCGAACCGACUAAUGUUGAAAAAUUAGCGGAUGACUUGUGGCUGGGGGUGAAAGGCCAAUCAAACCGGGAGAUAGCUGGUUCUCCCCGAAAGCUAUUUAGGUAGCGCCUCGUGAAUUCAUCUCCGGGGGUAGAGCACUGUUUCGGCAAGGGGGUCAUCCCGACUUACCAACCCGAUGCAAACUGCGAAUACCGGAGAAUGUUAUCACGGGAGACACACGGCGGGUGCUAACGUCCGUCGUGAAGAGGGAAACAACCCAGACCGCCAGCUAAGGKCCCAAAGUCAUGGUUAAGUGGGAAACGAUGUGGGAAGGCCCAGACAGCCAGGAUGUUGGCUUAGAAGCAGCCAUCAUUUAAAGAAAGCGUAAUAGCUCACUGGUCGAGUCGGCCUGCGCGGAAGAUGUAACGGGGCUAAACCAUGCACCGAAGCUGCGGCAGCGACGCUUAUGCGUUGUUGGGUAGGGGAGCGUUCUGUAAGCCUGUGAAGGUGGCCUGUGAGGGUUGCUGGAGGUAUCAGAAGUGCGAAUGCUGACAUAAGUAACGAUAAAGCGGGUGAAAAGCCCGCUCGCCGGAAGACCAAGGGUUCCUGUCCAACGUUAAUCGGGGCAGGGUGAGUCGACCCCUAAGGCGAGGCCGAAAGGCGUAGUCGAUGGGAAACAGGUUAAUAUUCCUGUACUUGGUGUUACUGCGAAGGGGGGACGGAGAAGGCUAUGUUGGCCGGGCGACGGUUGUCCCGGUUUAAGCGUGUAGGCUGGUUUUCCAGGCAAAUCCGGAAAAUCAAGGCUGAGGCGUGAUGACGAGGCACUACGGUGCUGAAGCAACAAAUGCCCUGCUUCCAGGAAAAGCCUCUAAGCAUCAGGUAACAUCAAAUCGUACCCCAAACCGACACAGGUGGUCAGGUAGAGAAUACCAAGGCGCUUGAGAGAACUCGGGUGAAGGAACUAGGCAAAAUGGUGCCGUAACUUCGGGAGAAGGCACGCUGAUACGUAGGUGAAGCGACUUGCUCGUGGAGCUGAAAUCAGUCGAAGAUACCAGCUGGCUGCAACUGUUUAUUAAAAACACAGCACUGUGCAAACACGAAAGUGGACGUAUACGGUGUGACGCCUGCCCGGUGCCGGAAGGUUAAUUGAUGGGGUUAGCGGUAACGCGAAGCUCUUGAUCGAAGCCCCGGUAAACGGCGGCCGUAACUAUAACGGUCCUAAGGUAGCGAAAUUCCUUGUCGGGUAAGUUCCGACCUGCACGAAUGGCGUAAUGAUGGCCAGGCUGUCUCCACCCGAGACUCAGUGAAAUUGAACUCGCUGUGAAGAUGCAGUGUACCCGCGGCAAGACGGAAAGACCCCGUGAACCUUUACUAUAGCUUGACACUGAACAUUGAGCCUUGAUGUGUAGGAUAGGUGGGAGGCUUUGAAGUGUGGACGCCAGUCUGCAUGGAGCCGACCUUGAAAUACCACCCUUUAAUGUUUGAUGUUCUAACGUUGGCCCCUGAUCGGGGUUGCGGACAGUGUCUGGUGGGUAGUUUGACUGGGGCGGUCUCCUCCUAAAGAGUAACGGAGGAGCACGAAGGUUGGCUAAUCCUGGUCGGACAUCAGGAGGUUAGUGCAAUGGCAUAAGCCAGCUUGACUGCGAGCGUGACGGCGCGAGCAGGUGCGAAAGCAGGUCAUAGUGAUCCGGUGGUUCUGAAUGGAAGGGCCAUCGCUCAACGGAUAAAAGGUACUCCGGGGAUAACAGGCUGAUACCGCCCAAGAGUUCAUAUCGACGGCGGUGUUUGGCACCUCGAUGUCGGCUCAUCACAUCCUGGGGCUGAAGUAGGUCCCAAGGGUAUGGCUGUUCGCCAUUUAAAGUGGUACGCGAGCUGGGUUUAGAACGUCGUGAGACAGUUCGGUCCCUAUCUGCCGUGGGCGCUGGAGAACUGAGGGGGGCUGCUCCUAGUACGAGAGGACCGGAGUGGACGCAUCACUGGUGUUCGGGUUGUCAUGCCAAUGGCACUGCCCGGUAGCUAAAUGCGGAAGAGAUAAGUGCUGAAAGCAUCUAAGCACGAAACUUGCCCCGAGAUGAGUUCU
rnacentral:rRNA from 1 species